rnacentral:rRNA from 1 species
AGUCGAGCGAACUGAUUAGAAGCUUGCUUCUAUGACGUUAGCGGCGGACGGGUGAGUAACACGUGGGCAACCUGCCUGUAAGACUGGGAUAACUUCGGGAAACCGAAGCUAAUACCGGAUAGGAUCUUCUCCUUCAUGGGAGAUGAUUGAAAGAUGGUUUCGGCUAUCACUUACAGAUGGGCCCGCGGUGCAUUAGCUAGUUGGUGAGGUAACGGCUCACCAAGGCAACGAUGCAUAGCCGACCUGAGAGGGUGAUCGGCCACACUGGGACUGAGACACGGCCCAGACUCCUACGGGAGGCAGCAGUAGGGAAUCUUCCGCAAUGGACGAAAGUCUGACGGAGCAACGCCGCGUGAGUGAUGAAGGCUUUCGGGUCGUAAAACUCUGUUGUUAGGGAAGAACAAGUACGAGAGUAACUGCUCGUACCUUGACGGUACCUAACCAGAAAGCCACGGCUAACUACGUGCCAGCAGCCGCGGUAAUACGUAGGUGGCAAGCGUUAUCCGGAAUUAUUGGGCGUAAAGCGCGCGCAGGCGGUUUCUUAAGUCUGAUGUGAAAGCCCACGGCUCAACCGUGGAGGGUCAUUGGAAACUGGGGGAACUUGAGUGCA